GAUGAACGCUAGCUACAGGCUUAACACAUGCAAGUCGUGGGGCAUCAUGAUGUAGUAAUACAUUGAUGGCGACCGGCGCGCGGGUGAGUAACGCGUAUCCAACCUACCCUCCACUCAAGUAUAGGCUUCCGAAAGGGAGAUUAAUCCUUGAUAUCGUCAUUCUCUCUCCUGUUAGAAUGAUAAAAGGACAUCGUUUCGGUAGAGGAUGGGGAUGCGUUCCAUUAGGUAGUAGGCGGUUUAACAGGCCACCUAGCCGAUGAUGGAUAGGGGUUCUGAGAGGAAUAUCCCCCACACUGGUACUGAGAUACGGACCAGACUCCUACGGGAGGCAGCAGUGAGGAAUAUUGGUCAAUGGGCGCAAGCCUGAAC
rnacentral:rRNA from 1 species